CCCAUUGGAAAUAUGGGAGCUUAAAGGCAACACGUCAGUUUGUCAAAGUACAAAGGUUUUGGAGCCUCAACUUUGGUGUUGACUAGUACUGAUGGCAUUAUGUUUGGAUGAUUUUCAUGUUCCACCACCCAACUGGCUGUAGCCUCCAAGCUAGCAUAGUGAAGUGUACGAGUUGGAUUUCAUAGAGAGGAGAAUUUUCAAGGACAUAUGGCCUCAAAGUGGUGCAGUGUAUUCAGACGAGCCUUUACAUGGCUCCUUUGCUUAUUUUUUAUUAUUCGUCUUGACAGAGCAACAGAGCCUUUCUUGUUGGCUAUGACCUCCAUCCUUUCCUUUUUGUUUGCUGAUGCUUUGGUGCGUUCUUUUCUUCAUUUGAUUGCAGACUGAGAUCUUUUGGGAAGGGCUAUCAUAGUGCCAGUGACAGAGUGAGAACCCUUUGUGGUUUCUGCAAAUUGUUGCAGAGGAAUGCUGCUUUGGUGACCUUCGUGGGUGUGAAUCAUCAGUCUCUCAAGUUUUGGCCCCUGUUCUUUCUCCAAUUUGCAGAAUUUUUGCUCUGCUGAAGGUGGGUUGGGCAAGUAACAAAGCGUCUGGUCUGUUGAUGUUUUCUAUUUUUUUGGUACUCAAGAACACUCGCAAGGUCUUCUCUGAGUACCACAAUGUGCCUAUGGACACUCACAAGGUGUUCACAGCACUUGUACAGUGGGGUUCUUGCAGAAGCCCAUCUGUAAUUCACAACAGAGAGGUCCUUGUGAGAGCUCUCUUUGUGUGAGUAGCACAGCUAUUGCCAAUUUGGGAGGAUUUGUUUGCAUUUUUCCACUGCUGAAGUCUCUGUUGAUAUGAUACAUUUCUUGAUAUCAAACAUGGAGGAAGUUCAAACUUCUGUACGGUGGCCUCACAUACAUGUUUUUUUGCCUGCAAGUCAGUUGUACAUAAAAGGAUACUCAAAUGAAUUUGUUUAUACCUUCUGAAUGGUAUUAUGACAGAGCUUCGUAUCUCUUUUGCUUGCUUCUCUUCUUUGGAUUUCUGUAGCAGUUUUUUUCCUUUCUGUGUAUUUCUGCAGCAAUUUGGUGCUUUUUUUUCUCCUCCGUCUCUUUGCCUCCUUUAGUCCCUUUUUAUAGACUUAGAGGAACUGACAGAGUGGAGCCAGUUAUGGCCUCACGUAUUGUGUGGGUGGGAGUAACUUCCCAUUUCCAGUCACUCCUCAACGUACAUGUUCUGUUACUGCUUAAUAUUUUCUUGUAAAAAUAUUAAUAUUAAUUCAUUUGGGCCUAAACCAAUUUAGCAAC